AGAGUUUGAUCAUGGCUCAGAACGAACGCUGGCGGCAGGCCUCAAACAUGCAAGUCUAGGGGGUGUAGCAAUACAUCACCGGCGGACGGGUGCGUAACGCGUGGGAAUAUACCUAUUGGUUCGGAACAACUCGGGGAAACCCGUGCUAAUUCCGGAUACGCCCUUACGGGGAAAGAUUUAUCGCCGAAAGAUUAGCCCGCGUUGGAUUAGCUAGUUGGUGAGGUAAAGGCUCACCAAGGCGACGAUCCAUAGCUGGUUUGAGAGAACGACCAGCCACACUGGGACUGAGACACGGCCCAGACUCCUACGGGAGGCAGCAGUGGGGAAUCUUGGACAAUGGGCGCAAGCCUGAUCCAGCCAUGCCGCGUGAGUGAUGAAGGCCUUCGGGUUGUAAAACUCUUUUGGCGGGGACGAUAAUGACGGUACCCGCAGAAUAAGCUCCGGCUAACUUCGUGCCAGCAGCCGCGGUAAUACGAAGGGGGCUAGCGUUGUUCGGAAUUACUGGGCGUAAAGCGUGCGCAGGCGGCUUCUCAAGUCAGGGGUGAAAGCCCAGAGCUCAACUCUGGAAUUGCCUUUGAGACUGAGAGGCUUGAGUACGGGAGAGGUGAGUGGAAUUCCCAGUGUAGAGGUGAAAUUCGUAGAUAUUGGGAAGAACACCGGUGGCGAAGGCGGCUCACUGGCCCGAAACUGACGCUCAUGCACGACAGCGUGGGGAUCAAACAGGAUUAGAUACCCUAGUAGUCC
rnacentral:rRNA from 1 species